UUUGAAAUCUGGCCCUCGUGGUCCGAGUUGUAAUUUGUAGAGGAUGCUUUUGGUUAGGUGCCUUCCGAGUUCCCUGGAACGGGACGCCAUAGAGGGUGAGAGCCCCGUCUGGUUGGACACCGAGCCUCUGUAAAGCUCCUUCGACGAGUCGAGUAGUUUGGGAAUGCUGCUCUAAAUGGGAGGUAUAUGUCUUCUAAAGCUAAAUAUUGGCCAGAGACCGAUAGCGCACAAGUAGAGUGAUCGAAAGAUGAAAAGCACUUUGAAAAGAGGGUUAAAAAGUACGUGAAAUUGUUGAAAGGGAAGCGCUUGUGACCAGACUUGGGCCCGGUCAAUCAUCCAGGGUUCUCCCUGGUGCACUUGGCCGGCCCAGGCCAGCAUCAGUUUGUCGCGGGGGAUAAAGACGUUGGGAAUGUGGCUCCUCCGGGAGUGUUAUAGCCCUUCGUGUAAUACCCUGCUUCGGACUGAGGUUCGCGCAUCUGCAAGGAUGCUGGCGUAAUGGUCAUCAGCGACCCGUCUUGAAACACGGACCAAGGAGUCGUCUUCGUAUGCGAGUGUUCGGGUGUCAAACCCCUACGCGUAAUGAAAGUGAACGCAGGUGAGAGCUUCGGCGCAUCAUCGACCGAUCCUGAUGUUCUCGGAUGGAUUUGAGUAAGAGCAUACGGGGCCGGACCCGAAAGAAGGUGAACUAUGCCUGUAUAGGGUGAAGCCAGAGGAAACUCUGGUGGAGGCUCGCAGCGGUUCUGACGUGCAAAUCGAUCGUCAAAUAUGGGCA
rnacentral:rRNA from 2 species